GAUGAACGCUAGCGGGAGGCUUAACACAUGCAAGUCGAGGGGCAGCAUAGGGUAGCAAUACUCUGAUGGACGACCGGCAAACGGGUGAGUAACGCGUAUGCAACCUACCCUGUACAGGGGGAUAACCCGGAGAAAUUCGGACUAAUAUCCCGUAAUAAUAUCCGGAGGCAUCUUUGGAUAUUUAAAGUUCCGACGGUACGGGAUGGGCAUGCGUAACAUUAACUGGUUGGUAAGGUAACGGCUUACCAAGGCUAUGAUGUUUAGGGGUCCUGAGAGGGUGGUCCCCCACACUGGUACUGAGACACGGACCAGACUCCUACGGGAGGCAGCAGUGAGGAAUAUUGGUCAAUGGGCGCAAGCCUGAACCAGCCAUCCCGCGUGCAGGAAGACGGCCCUAUGGGUUGUAAACUGCUUUUCCAGGGAGAGAAACUUACGCACGUGUUGCGUGACUGACGGUACCCUGGGAAUAAGCAUCGGCUAACUCCGUG
rnacentral:rRNA from 1 species